ACGCUGGCGGCGUGCUUAACACAUGCAAGUCGAACGGGAGUAUUGAAGAAGCUUGCUUUAGAGAUACUUUAGUGGCGGACGGGUGAGUAACGCGUGAGGAGCUGUCCUAUGCAGGGGGACAACAGCUGGAAACGGCUGCUAAUACCCCAUAAGCCGAGAGGUAAAAGGAUCAAUCCGGCAGAGGAGGUACUCGCGUCCUAUCAGCUAGUAGGUGAGGUAACGGCUCACCUAGGCGAAGACGGGUAGCCGGCCUGAGAGGGCGAACGGCCACACUGGAACUGAGAUACGGUCCAGACUCCUACGGGAGGCAGCAGUGGGGAAUAUUGGGCAAUGGGGGAAAAACCCCCUGACCCAGCGACGCCGCGUGGGUGAAGAAAUCCUUCGGGAUGUAAAGCCCUGUUGUAUGGGAAGAGCGGAAGACGGUACCAUACGAGGAAGCCCCGGCAAACUACGUGCCAGCCGCCGC
rnacentral:rRNA from 1 species